rnacentral:pre_miRNA from 1 species
AAUAGAUGAUGCCGUUGACUUUUUCUCACAUGUUUGAUCAUUUGUCUUAUUCAAAAAAUUUACGUAAUUAUAAUUUUUGUUAUGAGUUGUUUUAUUACUUAUAGUACUUUAAGUGUGAUUUAUAUCUUUUACAUUUGCAUAAAAUUUUUGAAUAAGACGAAUGAUCAAACAUGUGAGAAAAAAUCAACGGCGUCAUCUAUU